GACGAACGCUGGCGGCGUGCUUAACACAUGCAAGUCGAACGGAAAGGCCCUGCUUUUGUGGGUUGCUCGAGUGGCGAACGGGUGAGUAACACGUGAGUAACCUGCCCUUGACUUUGGGAUAACUUCAGGAAACUGUGGCUAAUACCGGAUAGGAGCUCCUGCUGCAUGGUGGGGGUUGGAAAGUUUCGGCGGUUGGGGAUGGACUCGCGGCUUAUCAGCUUGUUGGUGGGGUAGUGGCUUACCAAGGCUUUGACGGGUAGCCGGCCUGAGAGGGUGACCGGCCACAUUGGGACUGAGAUACGGCCCAGACUCCUACGGGAGGCAGCAGUGGGGAAUAUUGCACAAUGGGCGGAAGCCUGAUGCAGCAACGCCGCGUGCGGGAUGACGGCCUUCGGGUUGUAAACCGCUUUCGCCUGUGACGAAGCGUGAGUGACGGUAAUGGGUAAAGAAGCACCGGCUAACUACGUG
rnacentral:rRNA from 1 species